rnacentral:rRNA from 1 species
CCUACGGGUGGCAGCAGUGGGGAAUAUUGCACAAUGGGCGAAAGCCUGAUGCAGCAACGCCGCGUGAAGGAAGAAGGGUUUCGGCUCGUAAACUUCUAUCAACAGGGACGAAAGAAAUGACGGUACCUGAAUAAGAAGCCCCGGCUAACUACGUGCCAGCAGCCGCGGUAAUACGUAGGGGGCAAGCGUUAUCCGGAUUUAUUGGGUUUAAAGGGUGCGUAGGCGGAACAUUAAGUCAGCGGUAAAAUCGAGGGGCUCAACCCCUUUAAGCCGUUGAAACUGGUGAUCUUGAGUGGGCGAGAAGUAUGCGGAAUGCGUGGUGUAGCGGUGAAAUGCAUAGAUAUCACGCAGAACUCCGAUUGCGAAGGCAGCAUACCGGCGCCCGACUGACGCUGAGGCACGAAAGCGUGGGGAUCGAACAGGAUUAGAUACCCCAGUAGUC